AUCUGCAAACAAUUGCGUCAACAGCAACAGCAGCAGCAGCAGCAGUUGCCACAACAACAUUCACGACGGCUGCCACAAUUGCAACAACGCCCGCCGCCAGCAACUAUACGAAAGUGAGCGAUUAUCCGUACGCUGAUCUCCACCAGCAUCAUCACUUCGCUAGCACAGCGCCCCUGACCAGCACCGAAAGCUUCAAGCUGCGAUCCGAGGAGCCGGUGCCGGGCUUUAGCUCGGCCUCACCGUGGCCCACCCUCGAGCUGGGCAUGGACUGGGGACGCAAGCUGUAUCCCACCGCCGGGCCACGAUCCGCCAGCGGUCUAAUGUUCGGCCUGCCGCCCACGGCAGCCGACAUGAAUCAGCCGCGUGGACCGAUGACGUCGCUCAAGGAGGAACCGCUGGGCGGACGCUGGGCCAUGCAGCCGGUUGUCGAUCAGACCAAUCUGGGCAUUGGCCGCGCCCACUUUGAGAAACAGCCGCCCAGCAAUUUGCGCAAGUCGAAUUUCUUUCACUUUGUGAUCGCGCUCUACGAUCGCGCCGGCCAGCCCAUUGAGAUCGAGCGCACCGCCUUCAUUGGCUUCAUCGAGAAGGAUUCGGAGUCGGAUGCCACCAAGACCAACAAUGGCAUACAGUAUCGCUUGCAGUUGCUGUACGCUAACGGCGCACGACAAGAGCAAGAUAUCUUUGUCAGACUCAUCGAUUCGGUAACCAAAGCGGCCAUCAUCUAUGAGGGCCAGGACAAGAAUCCCGAGAUGUGCCGCGUACUGCUAACGCACGAAGUGAUGUGCAGCCGCUGCUGUGAUAAGAAGAGCUGUGGUAACCGCAACGAGACGCCAUCGGACCCCGUCAUUAUUGAUCGCUUUUUCCUCAAGUUCUUCUUGAAGUGCAAUCAAAAUUGCCUCAAAAAUGCUGGCAACCCGCGGGACAUGAGAAGAUUUCAGGUCGUCAUAUCCACCCAGGUGGCCGUUGAUGGACCUCUGCUAGCCAUCUCGGACAACAUGUUCGUGCACAACAAUUCAAAGCACGGACGCCGCGCCAAGCGACUGGACACAACGGAAGGUACAGGCAACACAUCCCUGUCCAUAUCCGGUCACCCCCUAGCGCCCGACAGUACCUACGAUGGUCUUUAUCCACCGUUGCCAGUGGCAACGCCGUGCAUUAAAGCGAUAUCGCCCAGCGAGGGAUGGACCACAGGUGGCGCCACCGUCAUCAUUGUGGGCGACAACUUCUUCGAUGGCCUCCAGGUGGUGUUUGGCACGAUGCUGGUGUGGAGCGAGCUGAUCACAUCGCAUGCGAUACGCGUCCAAACGCCACCGCGUCACAUACCCGGCGUCGUUGAGGUGACGCUCUCCUACAAGAGCAAACAGUUCUGCAAGGGAUCCCCGGGUCGCUUUGUCUAUGUCUCAGCACUCAAUGAACCCACUAUCGACUACGGCUUUCAACGUCUACAGAAGCUAAUACCCCGCCAUCCCGGCGAUCCCGAGAAACUGCAAAAGGAGAUCAUACUGAAGCGUGCCGCGGAUCUAGUAGAAGCUCUCUACUCCAUGCCAAGCAGAUCGCCAGGCGGCUCCACCAGCUUCAAUUCCUAUGCCGGACAGCUGGCGGUGAGCGUGCAGGAUGGCAGCGGCCAAUGGACCGAGGAUGAUUACCAGCGUGCCCAAUCGAGCAGCGUUAGUCCACGUGGCGGCUACUGCAGCAGCGCCUCGACGCCCCACAGCUCCGGUGGCUCCUACGGUGCCACAGCGGCCACAGCGGCGGUGGCAGCCACUGCCAAUGGCUAUGCGCCGGCUCCCAACAUGGGCACAUUGUCCUCCUCGCCGGGCAGCGUCUUCAACUCCACCUCAAUGUCCGUAUCGACGCCUUGGCACUCGGCGCUGGUGCAGCAUCAUCAUGCAACUGCCACCCAUCCGCAUCACUAUCCGCAUCCGCAUCAGCCCUGGCACAAUCCUGCCGCAUCAGCAGCGACAGCAGCCGCCGUUUAAACACACACAUGGAGCACAAAAGGCUGGGGAAAAACACUACCACACAAACACAUACAGACAGCCAACACACACAGAUACACACAUGCAGGCAGGCAGGCAGGCAGACAGGCGCUUAUCGAGGGGCUAGCGACGCCCCCAAAAUGUGAAUCGGCAACAACAACAACAACGGCAAGCAUCAUCAUCGACUGGUGAUAACUGUCCAUAAAACAAAACAACAACAACAACCAUCACAACAACAGCACACAAUCAACAACACACGUUCAACGGGGUCAGCAGCUUGAGUUUCAAUCCCUUCGCCCUGCCCACCUGCAACACACAGGGCUAUAGCACCAGCCAGCUGGUGACAUCAACCAAAUAAUAUUAUUAUUAAAUGAGGCUAUUGGCCGCUGUUCUUGUUUUCGCCACGCCCUCCAUGCGCUCCGUGGACACACGCCCCACAGAAGUCACCAAUGAACAUCAAAUGAACAAAAAGACGCUCGAAAGUGCAAUAAAGCCAUGGAAAUAUACAUCGAUUUCCAAAAUGAAAACGAAUUAUCAAUAUACGAGUACAUCAAAUAUAUUUAUUGUAAAAAAAACAAAAACACAAGAAAAUUUACAAAUUACAAACAAGUUUGUUUAUUUUGCAUUGUCCUUGUAAAUUAAUGAAAAUAUCGAAAUUGAGCAAAAUGUUUAACCAUAUCAAAACACAUAUGAAUUAAACUGAAAACACUCAUAUCAAAUCGGGGACUACGAUCCACGACGACCCAGAAUAGAAUAAGAAUUACGAUAAUGCUGUGUCCAUUGAUCGAAAUCGAUUGAAGCUAUUAUCUGCAUUAAUUCCUGACACAUUUUGGCGAUUAGCUUGAUUAAUCGAUAUAUGUAAAUAUAUAUAGUCUUAUACAUAUACAUAUAUAUAUCUCGAAUAUUUAUUGGAUGUAAUAAUCGGAACUGUGAAUAGAACAAAUUAUACCAAUUUACAUACAUUACCUAUGAUGAUCUGAAAAAGUAAUACGAAAAUACAUAUUAUACAAAACUAAAACAUAUAAAAUUUAAUACAUUUUGGAUAUAUCUAAAUGCUUGUAUACGAAAAUUUACUACAAAAAAAAAAAGAAAAACGAAAGAAAUAUAAUUAUUAUAUCACCCUACACUCACAAUUUUGUCAAAAGAUCAUUCAAUCAAAAUACCAUAUCAUUUUUCCAAAAUUAUACGAAAAGAAACACACUUAAUGCCGAAGCGUUGUUCAAAUCUGAACAAUGUAAAAGACCCAUAAUCAAAAUGAUAUAUACCUAAAGAUAAACGAAAAAAAAAAAGGAAAAACAAAAAAUAGUUGGGCUAUAUACGAGUACUAUA